rnacentral:rRNA from 1 species
GACGUAGGGCGCGAGCGUUGUCCGGAUUUAUUGGGCGUAAAGAGCUCGUAGGCGGCUUGUCGCGUCGACUGUGAAAACUUGGGGCUCAACCCCAAGCUUGCAGUCGAUACGGUCAGGCUAGAGUUCGGUAGGGGAGACUGGAAUUCCUGGUGUAGCGGUGAAAUGCGCAGAUAUCAGGAGGAACACCGAUGGCGAAGGCAGGUCUCUGGGCCGAUACUGACGCUGAGGAGCGAAAGCGUGGGGAGCAAACAGG